rnacentral:misc_RNA from 1 species
CAACCCUCGAGCCCCCGUGGCCCGGCGUUGGGGAUCUGCCCAGGCAGGCCCCGAAAACCAGUGGCGGACCCGUUUAGGCCCUUCCUUUGCGUAGUAAUACUGCCUCGCAUCGGGAGCCGGCGGGCUUUCAGCCUCUAAACCCCCAGCAAGUCCGCUCCGGCGGCACCAA